rnacentral:tRNA from 1 species
GGGGUCGUGGCUUAGGGGCAGAGUGCUCGCCUAGCACGUGCGAGGCUCUGGGUUCAAUCCUCAGCACCACA